rnacentral:rRNA from 1 species
GAGUUUGAUCCUGGUUCAGAUUGAACGCUGGCGGCAGGCCUAACACAUGCAAGUCGAGCGGCAGCGGGAAAGUAGCUUGCUACUUUUGCCGGCGAGCGGCGGACGGGUGAGUAAUGCCUGGGAAAUUGCCCAGUCGAGGGGGAUAACAGUUGGAAACGACUGCUAAUACCGCAUACGCCCUACGGGGGAAAGCAGGGGACCUUCGGGCCUUGCGCGAUUGGAUAUGCCCAGGUGGGAUUAGCUAGUUGGUGAGGUAAUGGCUCACCAAGGCGACGAUCCCUAGCUGGUCUGAGAGGAUGAUCAGCCACACUGGAACUGAGACACGGUCCAGACUCCUACGGGAGGCAGCAGUGGGGAAUAUUGCACAAUGGGGGAAACCCUGAUGCAGCCAUGCCGCGUGUGUGAAGAAGGCCUUCGGGUUGUAAAGCACUUUCAGCGAGGAGGAAAGGUUGAUGCCUAAUACGUAUCAACUGUGACGUUACUCGCAGAAGAAGCACCGGCUAACUCCGUGCCAGCAGCCGCGGUAAUAC